GAUAGCUGGAUAUGAUGUAUUAGGUAAAAGGAACUAUGGUCAAGAGGCCUUCAGUGGCAUGGUGGUUUUUCACUUGUUAGGAUGGAGUGGCAACUUUCAACUCCUUACAUGCGAAAUCAGAAACCAGAAGUCCCCCGAUGAAUUUAUGGAAAUUCAAAGAUCCAGGUCAUGUCGUCUGAUCCAAUGCCAACUAGUGAGUAUCGGACAUAACUUCAAACCCGCAG